GUAGGUGGGCAAGCGUUGUCCGGAAUUAUUGGGCGUAAAGCGCGCGCAGGGUGGUUCUUUAAGUCUGAUGUGAAAGCCCCCGGGCUCAACCGGGGAGGGUCAUUGGAAACUGGGGAACUUGAGUGCAGGAGGGAAAGUGGAAUUCCACGUGUAGCGGUGAAAUGCGUAGAUAUGUGGAGGAACACCAGUGGCGAAGGCGACUUUCUGGCCUGUAACUGACACUGAGGCGCGAAAGCGUGGGGAGCAAACAGGAUUAGAUACCCUGGUAGUCCACGCCGUAAACGAUGAGUGCUAAGUGUUGGGGGGUUUCCGCCCCUCAGUGCUGCAGCUAACGCAUUAAGCACUCCGCCCGGGGAGUACGGUCGCAAAGACUG
rnacentral:rRNA from 1 species